UACGUAGGGGGCAAGCGUUGUCCGGAAUUAUUGGGCGUAAAGAGCGCGUAGGCGGUCCGAUAAGUCGGCUGUGAAAGUCCAGGGCUCAACCCUGGAAAGCCGGCCGAUACUGUCGGACUAGAGUCCGGAAGAGGCGAGUGGAAUUCCUGGUGUAGCGGUGAAAUGCGCAGAUAUCGGAAGGAACACCGGUGGCGAAAGCGGCGCGCUGGACCUCUUCUGACGCUGAGGCGCGAAAGCCAGGGGAGCAAACGGG
rnacentral:rRNA from 1 species